rnacentral:rRNA from 1 species
CAGUCGCCGCGGUAAUACGCAGGGUGCGAGCGUUAAUCGGAAUUACUGGGCGUAAAGCGUGCGCAGGCGGUUGUGUAAGACAGGUGUGAAAUCCCCGGGCUUAACCUGGGAACUGCGCUUGUGACUGCACAGCUAGAGUAUGGCAGAGGGGGUGGAAUUCCACGUGUAGCAGUGAAAUGCGUAGAGAUGUGGAGGAACACCGAUGGCGAAGGCAGCCCCCUGGGCCAAUACUGACGCUCAUGCACGAAAGCGUGGGGAGCAAACAGGAUUAGAUACCCCCGUAGUCCCUGUCUCUUAUACC